rnacentral:lncRNA from 1 species
CAUUUUAUUAUUUAUUAAGACUGUUAACAAAAAAUAGGCUUUAUUUUUCCUCUGUACUUAAAAACUAUAAAUUUACUUGGGUCACUAACAGUGCUCUCAGUCUGAGAGAAAAUUACAUAAUAACAACAAUAAUGAACAAAGCACUUAGCAUGUGCCAGGCACUGUUCUAGGUGCUUUUACAUAUUCAGUCAUCACUUUUCACAACAGCUCUAUGAGGUAAGUACUGUUAUCUCCGUUUUACAGAUGAGGAAACUGAAGCACAGAAAAACCAAGGUUCAGUCAGACAGCUAGUAUGUGGCAGAGUCAAGAUUUAAAUCUAAGAAACAGGAUCUGGAAUCUGUACUCCUAACCAUUACGCCACACUGAGAUGGUUCCCAAACAGCAGGAAGAAGAAGUGUUCUUUCCCUAUAGGUAACAGUUCACUCAUUCUUUUGGUGCAGUAAUGGACAGUCUGUACCGAACUCUCCAAUAUAAAACGUGAGGAAUUAAAAUGUAUAUAGAGCCUGAAAACUCACUUACUUUUAUAAUGGUUCCAAGCAAAGAAAAUGCUUUAUGGGUUCAAACAUGUCAAAUUUAUGAACUCUUCGUUUUUUUGUGGAAACUGGCUGGCAGUCUCUAUUUACAAUAUCUCUCCUCUAUUAUAAAAAACAUUGCAGUGGAGCUAUGUGAACAUUUUUUCCCCUUUCCCUUAGAGAAAGCAAAUUAAGUCAAAGGUGAUACAUAUCCUUGGAGUUGGCUGAAAAAGAAAUUGGGAGAAAUAUGAGAAUAGCCUUGUGGAACUUGGUUUCCACAAUUCUCAAAUUUAACCAUGAAAUUAAAAUUAGAUACAGGGGAUAGAUUUUCCUGGUCAUAAGCAAGUCAGGCAGUGAGCUCCAAAGAAUUCACAUACUCCUCCUUCUAAUUCUUUUAAAAUUCCAGCUUCUAAAGGACCUGAGAAAUAUGAUCACUACUAAACUCACUCAUGUAUUAAAUAAUGAUUAGGAAGAGCUAAGAGUUGACACAGAGGAAGGCCAGGAAACAUGGUAAAUGUGGGUAAGGGCAUUAAGAAGUUUGCAGACUACACCAUAUCUCUAAAGCCUCAUGAUUUUGCUAAAGUAUUGUAACUCAGGAGAGAAAGCAAGACACCCUCAUGGGAAUUCUUUUGAGUUUUUCAUUCUUUUCCCCCUCCACUCAGUUCCAUCCAGAUGUGGCAGCCUCAGUAGCUAGUAGAAAAAAAAUUUGGCCAGGGUCAGUGGCUCAGGCCUGUAAUCUCAGCACUUUGGGAGGCCAAGGUGGGCGGAUUGCUCAAGCUCACAAGUUUGAGACCAGCCUGGGCCACAUGGCAAACCCUGUCUCUACAGAAAAUACAAAAAUUAGCCGGGCAUGGUGGCACAUAUCUGUAGUCUCAGCUAUUUGUAGGCUGAGGUGGGAGGAUCACUUGAGCCUGGGAGUUUAAGGCUGCAGUAAGCCAUGAUUAUGCCACUGCACUUCAGCCUGGGUGACAAAGGGAGACCCUGUCUCAAAAGGGGGGAAAAAAGGCCAGGCAUUGUGGCACGCGCCCAGAGUCCCAACUUCUCAGGAGGCUGAGUCAGGAGAAUCGCUCGAACCUGGGAGACAGA